rnacentral:rRNA from 1 species
CAUAAAAAUAAUAAAAGACUGGUUGCCCACUGAAGCUAAGCAGGGCUGAGCCUGGUCAGUACCUGGAUGGGAGACCUCCUGGGAAAACUAGGUUGCUGUUGGAA